CCUACGGGAGGCAGCAGUGAGGAAUAUUGGUCAAUGGACGCAAGUCUGAACCAGCCAUGCCGCGUGCAGGAAGACGGCUCUAUGAGUUGUAAACUGCUUUUGUACGAGGGUAAACGCAGAUACGCGUAUCUGUCUGAAAGUAUCGUACGAAUAAGAAUCGGCUAACUCCGUGCCAGCAGCCGCGGUACUACGGAGGAUUCAAGCGUUAUCCGGAUUUAUUGGGUUUAAAGGGUGCGUAGGCGGUCGGAUAAGUUAGAGGUGAAAUCCCCAGGCUCAACUUCGGAAUUGCCUCUGAUACUGGUCGGCUUGAGAGUAGUAGAGGUAGGCGGAAUGUAUGGUGUAGCGGUGAAAUGCUUAGAGAUCAUACAGAACACCGAUUGCGAAGGCAGCUUACCAAGCUACUACUGACGUUGAGGUACGAAAGCGUGGGGAGCAAACAGGAUUAGAUACCCGUGUAGUC
rnacentral:rRNA from 1 species